CAAGGAAUAGUUUAAGUAGAAUGUCAGCUUUGGGUGUUGAUGGUGGGGCUUGAGUCUCUUCCUUGAG
rnacentral:tRNA from 1 species